rnacentral:rRNA from 1 species
AUUGAACGCUGGCGGCAUGCCUUACACAUGCAAGUCGAACGGUAACAGGUUAAGCUGACGAGUGGCGAACGGGUGAGUAAUGUAUCGGAACGUGCCCAGUCGUGGGGGAUAACUGCUCGAAAGAGCAGCUAAUACCGCAUACGACCUGAGGGUGAAAGCGGGGGAUCGCAAGACCUCGCGCGAUUGGAGCGGCCGAUAUCAGAUUAGGUAGUUGGUGAGGUAAAGGCUCACCAAGCCGACGAUCUGUAGCUGGUCUGAGAGGACGACCAGCCACACUGGGACUGAGACACGGCCCAGACUCCUACGGGAGGCAGCAGUGGGGAAUUUUGGACAAUGGGCGCAAGCCUGAUUCAGCCAUGCCGCGUGCGGGAAGAAGGCCUUCGGGUUGUAAACCGCUUUUGUCAGGGAAGAAAGGGUUCUGGCUAAUACCUGGGACUCAUGACGGUACCUGAAGAAUAAGCACCGGCUAACUACGUGCCAGCCGCCGCGGUAA